UACGGGGGGAGCAAGCGUUGUUCGGAUUUACUGGGCGUAAAGGGCGCGUAGGCGGCCACGACAAGUCACUUGUGAAAUCUCCGGGCUUAACUCGGAACGGUCAAGUGAUACUGUCGGGCUAGAGUGCGGAAGGGGCAACUGGAAUUCUCGGUGUAGCGGUGAAAUGCGUAGAUAUCAGGAGGAACACCGGUGGCGAAGGCGGGUCUCUGGGCCGAUACUGACGCUGAGGUGCGAAAGCGUGGGGAGCAAACAGG
rnacentral:rRNA from 1 species